UACGAGGGGAGCAAGCGUUGUUCGGAUUUACUGGGCGUAAAGGGCGCGUAGGCGGUCGUGACAAGUCACUUGUGAAAUCUCCGGGCUUAACUCGGAACGGUCAAGUGAUACUGUCGUGCUAGAGUACAGAAGGGGCAACUGGAAUUCUCGGUGUAGCGGUGAAAUGCGUAGAUAUCGAGAGGAACACCUGCGGCGAAGGCGGGUUGCUGGGCUGAUACUGACGCUGAGGCGCGAAAGCUAGGGGAGCGAACGGG
rnacentral:rRNA from 1 species